GGAAAGUCAAACAGAAGAUUGUUACCGCGGAUCUUCGUGAUUUGAUUUCGGUCGCGUGUCCAAUUCAACGAGCUUUAUACGCCAGACUGGUGAAAGCUUGCAGCUGAAUUGCACCUAGUAUGCCCUGUCAGUCUGAAGGGAUAAAGGAUACAAAGAAUCGGGAAAUACGGUGAAGCGAGAGACAAUAAUCCAGUGCAAGAGUGCAGCAGGUGGGCGAUGUGCCUAGAAG